CAGUUUUUGAAUUAAAAUGUAAUAUGUUUGUUAGAAGAUUAUAGUUGCAACAGCGUUAUACUCUUUGACUAGUUGAUUAAUUCAAAAACUUCUGUAUUGGUUUCUUCUAUUAGGUUGUGUCAAUAACAGAUGCAAUAGAAAAUCAUCCUUUAAAAAAUAGCAUCAUUAUUGAGGCACAAAAAGCUGUAAUGGAUGAUCGCUUGCAUCGUCUUCUUGUCAAAGUAGCAUGCUCUUACUUAAUUGAUUGCUUCGGAAAGUUAUCCUGCUACUGGUAACAUGAAAUCCAGUACAACCUGUUUCAUGUUAACGUCAGGAAGGGCAUCCGGUUGUAAAAAAUUGCUUCAACUCUUACAUAGUGGCAUUUAUGUCACUUUGUAGAACCAUCCAAACCACACUAGUGUGGAAACAUGGAUGUAAAACUUC